rnacentral:rRNA from 1 species
AUUGAACGCUGGCGGCCUGCUUUACACAUGCAAGUCGAACGGUAACAGGCCUUCGGGUGCUGACGAGUGGCGAACGGGUGAGUAAUGCAUCGGAACGUACCCAGAGGUGGGGGAUAACGCAGCGAAAGCUGUGCUAAUACUGCAUGUGAUCUGAGGAUGAAAGCGGGGGACCGAGCAGCAAUGUUUGGCCUCGCGCCUUUGGAGCGGCCGAUGUCGGAUUAGCUAGUUGGUGGGGUAAAGGCCUACCAAGGCGACGAUCCGUAGCUGGUCUGAGAGGACGACCAGCCACACUGGGACUGAGACACGGCCCAGACUCCUACGGGAGGCAGCAGUGGGGAAUUUUGGACAAUGGGCGCAAGCCUGAUCCAGCAAUGCCGCGUGCGGGAAGAAGGCCUUCGGGUUGUAAACCGCUUUUGGCAGGAACGAAACGGUGUCCGCUAAUACCGGGCGCUAAUGACGGUACCUGCAGAAUAAGCACCGGCUAACUACGUG